rfam:Picea glauca, whole genome shotgun sequence.
CAAUAUUUGUUACAACAGCGUUAAUGCAUCGGUUCCCAUUAGAACUCCAUAGUUAAGCGCGCUCAGGAUAGAUUAGUAUUGGGAUGGGUGACCUCCCAGUAAGUCCUCGUGUUUUGC